AUUGAACGCUGGCGGCAGGCCUAACACAUGCAAGUCGAGCGAGCGGCGGACGGGUGAGUAAUGUAGGGGGACGGCCCGAUAGAGGGGGAUAACUACUGGAAACGGUAGCUAAUACCGCAUACUAGCGUGUAACCCAUAUGGGAUUAGCUAGAAGGUGAGGUAAUGUCUCACCUAGGCGACGAUCCCUAGCUGGUCUGAGAGGAUGAUCAGUCACACUGCGACUGGGACACUGCCCAGCCUCGUACGGAGGCGGCGUUGGGGAAUAUUGCACAAUGGGCGCAAGCCUGAUGCAGUCAUGCGGGGUGUAUGAAGAAGGCCAUAGGGUUGUAAAGUACUUUAAGUCGGGAGGCGUUACCGACCGAAGAAGCACCGGCUAACUCCGUGCCAGCAGCCGCGGUAAUAC
rnacentral:rRNA from 1 species